GAUGAACGCUGGCGGCGUGCUUAACACAUGCAAGUCGAACGGGAAUUAUUUUAUUGAAACUUCGGUCGAUUUAAUUUACUUCUAGUGGCGGACGGGUGAGUAACGCGUGGGUAACCUGCCUUAUACAGGGGGAUAACAGUCAGAAAUGGCUGCUAAUACCGCAUAAGCGCACAGAGCUGCAUGGCUCAGUGUGAAAAACUCCGGUGGUAUAAGAUGGACCCGCGUUGGAUUAGCUGGUUGGUGGGGUAACGGCCCACCAAGGCGACGAUCCAUAGCCGGCCUGAGAGGGGGAACGGCCACAUUGGGACUGAGACACGGCCCAGACUCCUACGGGAGGCAGCAGUGGGGAAUAUUGCACAAGGGGGGAAACCCUGAUGCAGCGACGCCGCGUGAAGGAAGAAGUAUCUCGGUAUGUAAACUUCUAUCAGCAGGGAAGAUAGUGACGGUACCUGACUAAGAAGCCCCGGCUAACUACGUG
rnacentral:rRNA from 1 species